rnacentral:rRNA from 1 species
CGCACGGGUGAGUAAUAUAUAGCUAACUUGCCCAUUACUAAGGGACAACAGUUGGAAACGACUGCUAAUACCUUAUACUCCGUAUCUAUAUAAGUAGAUACGGGAAAGUUUUUCGGUAAUGGAUAGGGCUAUAUCGUAUCAGCUAGUUGGUAAGGUAAUGGCUUACCAAGGCUAUGACGCGUAACUGGUCUGAGAGGAUGAUCAGUCACACUGGAACUGAGACACGGUCCAGACUCCUACGGGAGGCAGCAGUAGGGAAUAUUGCUCAAUGGGGGAAACCCUGAAGCAGCAACGCCGCGUGGAGGAUGACACUUUUCGGAGCGUAAACUCCUUUUCUUGGGAAAGAAUUAUGACGGUACCCAAGGAAUAAGCACCGGCUAACUCCGUGCC